UACGUAGGGUGCAAGCGUUGUCCGGAAUUACUGGGCGUAAAGAGCUCGUAGGCGGUUUGUCGCGUCGUCUGUGAAAACUCGAGGCUCAACCUCGAGCUUGCAGGCGAUACGGGCAGACUUGAGUACUGCAGGGGAGACUGGAGUUCCUGGUGUAGCGGUGAAAUGCGCAGAUAUCAGGAGGAACACCGGUGGCGAAGGCGGGUCUCUGGGCAGUAACUGACGCUGAGGAGCGAAAGCGUGGGUAGCGAACAGG
rnacentral:rRNA from 1 species